GAGUAAUGUCUGGGAAACUGCCUGAUGGAGGGGGAUAACUACUGGAAACGGUGGCUAAUACCGCAUAACGUCGCAAGACCAAAGAGGGGGACCUUCGGGCCUCUUGCCAUCAGAUGUGCCCAGAUGGGAUUAGCUUGUUGGUGAGGUAACGGCUCACCAAGGCGACGAUCCCUAGCUGGUCUGAGAGGAUGACCAGCCACACUGGAACUGAGACACGGUCCAGACUCCUACGGGAGGCAGCAGUGGGGAAUAUUGCACAAUGGGCGCAAGCCUGAUGCAGCCAUGCCGCGUGUAUGAAGAAGGCCUUCGGGUUGUAAAGUACUUUCAGCGGGGAGGAAGGUGUUGUGGUUAAUAACCGCAGCAAUUGACGUUACCCGCAGAAGAAGCACCGGCUAACUCCGUGCCAGCAGCCGCGGUAAUACGGAGGGUGCAAGCGUUAAUCGGAAUUACUGGGCGUAAAGCGCACGCAGGCGGUCUGUCAAGUCGGAUGUGAAAUCCCCGGGCUCAACCUGGGAACUGCAUUCGAAACUGGCAGGCUUGAGUCUUGUAGAGGGGGGUAGAAUUCCAGGUGUAGCGGUGAAAUGCGUAGAGAUCUGGAGGAAUACCGGUGGCGAAGGCGGCCCCCUGGACAAAGACUGACGCUCAGGUGCGAAAGCGUGGGGAGCAAACAGGAUUAGAUACCCUGGUAGUCCACGCCGUAAACGAUGUCUACUUGGAGGUUGUGCCCUUGAGGCGUGGCUUCCGGAGCUAACGCGUUAAGUAGACCGCCUGGGGAGUACGGCCGCAAGGUUAAAACUCAAAUGAAUUGACGGGGGCCCGCACAAGCGGUGGAGCAUGUGGUUUAAUUCGAUGCAACGCGAAGAACCUUACCUGGUCUUGACAUCCACGGAAGAAUUCAGAGAUGGAUUUGUGCCUUCGGGAACCGUGAGACAGGUGCUGCAUGGCUGUCGUCAGCUCGUGUUGUGAAAUGUUGGGUUAAGUCCCGCAACGAGCGCA
rnacentral:rRNA from 1 species